UACGUAGGAUGCGAGCGUUAAUCGGAAUUACUGGGCGUAAAGCGUGCGCAGGCGGUUCGUGAUGGCUGAUGUGAAAGCCCCGGGCUCAACCUGGGAACUGCAUUGGAAACUAGCGGGCUGGAGUGUGGCAGAGGGGGGUGGAAUUCCACGUGUAGCAGUGAAAUGCGUAGAGAUGUGGAGGAACACCGGUGGCGAAGGCGGCAUCCUGGACCGGCAUUGACGCUGAGGCGCGAAAGCCAGGGGAGCAAACGGG
rnacentral:rRNA from 1 species